rnacentral:lncRNA from 1 species
CUUUUACAGAUAUUUGGAUUUUAUUUUGGCAGACAGUUUAGCUACUUUUAGACCAACUUGAUUCUUUUGAGGUUUGUUUUUAGCACAGGUCUGCAGUAGCCUCAGUCUAGCCCUAAUACUUCUGGGGUCUUUUCUGAAUGCCCUGCUUGUUCUGAGAUUUCUACACCACAAUUGAAAGUGAAUUCAAAAAAGCUGGAGAGGAGACGCAUCAGGUCAGAAGGGAUUUGCUGCUCUGAACUGCCAGUUACACUGCACAAAAGUUUAGAGCUCCGCCAAUCACAUAUUCCAGACUGUUUUUGCCAGAUGACUUCCUACUGGGUUCUGCUAAUUUCUGUCAUUGGAAGAAGACUGGAAGGUGGUUUCCUGAGAAGCUAAGGGAAGAGAAGACUUAGACAUUACUAGAACCCAUUCCUCAAGACACUGUAUUCAGACAGAGUGCACCAAUUCCAGCUAUUUGUGCCUUAUACAUUUGUCUAAGGAGGUGUGGGAUACUCUUGGCACACUCGGAAUACUGCUUGCCAGACUGGGGAAGUGUUAGAGGAAGAUUACGACACUGCUACUCCAUGCCAAAACGUUACACUACGGCUCUGCAGACUGAAGAUUGCCUCACAAGCAGAAAUAUACUCUUUCCAACAAACACUGGUGGAAUGAAAAGGACAUUGGAUUCCUGCUUCCAGUUACUGCUUGCCCUUCCCUGACUUUGUGACCUGAGAUUUUACUUUCUACUCUUGUCAGUCAUAUCUGCAAGGCUGACAGUUACCAGGGGCUGUGGCCAGGCAUGAGGGAGAAUGUGUCAUUGCUGGCUGCGUUGGUCAUAGCAACGUGUCUGCCUCAGAACAGAUCCAGCAUGGAUGAGCAAACAGAAAAAUGUGUAAGAAGGCUUGUGACUGAAACAGACCAAGGGUGAGAGAACCUUUGUGGGAGCGCAGAAGUCCAGCAGAGAGACCCUAGCACUUUAUUUGGACCAAAAAAUAAAUAAUAAAUAAAUAAAUAAAUAAAUCCAAAACUAGAUGCAUUAAAGAAGACUUCUCCUAUGGAGAAUGCAGCAAGAAAAUACCAUCUUGAAGCAGAGAGCAGCGCUCAUCAGGCAUCAGUCCUUCUGGAGCCUUGAUCUUGGACCUCCCAGCUCCAAAAUAAUAAGUAAUAAAUUGUUAUUGCUUAUAAAUU